UACAGGGGGUGCAAACGUUGCUCGGAAUCAUUGGGCGUAAAGCGCACGUAGGCGGUUCGUUAUGUCGGAUGUGAAAGCCCUUGGCUUAACCGAGGAAGUGCAUCCGAAACUGGCGAGCUAGAGUACUAAAGAGGAUCGCGGAAUUCCCGGUGUAGAGGUGAAAUUCGUAGAUAUCGGGAGGAACACCAGUGGCGAAGGCGGCGAUCUGGGUCGAUACUGACGCUGAGGUGCGAAAGCGUGGGGAGCAAACAGG
rnacentral:rRNA from 1 species